GGAUUGUGGUUCAGUGGUAGAGUGCUCGCCUAGCACGUGCAAGGCCCUGGAUUCGAUCCUCAGCACCA
rnacentral:tRNA from 1 species